GUGCCACCGCGGUAAUACAGAGGGGGCAAGCGUUGUUCGGAAUUACUGGGCGUAAAGCGCGCGCAGGCGGUCUUCCAAGUCAGUGGUGAAAGCCCGGAGCUCAACUCCGGAACUGCCAUUGAAACUGUAAGACUUGAGGAUGAGAGAGGUGAGUGGAAUUCCCAGUGUAGAGGUGAAAUUCGUAGAUAUUGGGAAGAACACCGGUGGCGAAGGCGGCUCACUGGCUCAUUACUGACGCUCAGGCGCGACAGCGUGGGGGAUCAAACAGG
rnacentral:rRNA from 1 species